GAUGAACGCUGGCGGCGUGCCUAAUACAUGCAAGUCGAGCGAACGGACGAGAAGCUUGCUUCUCUGAUGUUAGCGGCGGACGGGUGAGUAACACGUGGAUACCCUCCCUAUAAGACUGGUAUAACUUCGGGAAACCGGAGCUAAUACCGGAUAAUAUUUUGAACCGCAUGGUUCAAAAGUGAAAGACGGUCUUGCUGUCACUUAUAUAUGGAUCCGCGCUGCAUUAGCUAGUUGGUAAGGUAACGGCUUACCAAGGCAACGAUGCAUAGCCGACCUGAGAGGGUGAUCGGCCACACUGGAACUGAGCCACGGUCCAGACUCCUACGGGAGGCAGCAGUAGGGAAUCUUACGCAAUGGGCGAAAGCCUGACGGAGCAACGCCGCGUGAGUGAUGAAGGUCUUCGGAUCGUAAAACUCUGUUAUUAGGGAAGAACAUAUGUGUAAGUAACUGUGCACAUCUUGACGGUACCUAAUAAGAAAGCCACGGCUAACUACGUG
rnacentral:rRNA from 1 species